rnacentral:rRNA from 1 species
CCUGAUCCAGCCAUGCCGCGUGAGUGAAGAAGGCCUUCGGGUUGUAAAGCUCUUUUAGUCGGAAAGAAAGAGUCGCAAUGAAUAAUUGUGAUUUAUGACGGUACCGACAGAAAAAGCACCGGCUAACUACGUGCCAGCAGCCGCGGUAAUACGUAGGGUGCGAGCGUUAAUCGGAAUUACUGGGCGUAAAGGGUGCGCAGGCGGUUUUGCAAGUCAGAUGUGAAAGCCCCGGGCUUAACCUGGGAAUUGCGUUUGAAACUACAAGGCUAGAGUGCAGCAGAGGGGAGUGGAAUUCCAUGUGUAGCAGUGAAAUGCGUAGAGAUGUGGAAGAACACCGAUGGCGAAGGCAGCUCCCUGGGUUGACACUGACGCUCAUGCACGAAAGCGUGGGGAGCAAACAGGAUUAGAUACCCUGGUAGUCCACGCCCUAAACGAUGUCAACUGGUUGUCGGAUCUAAUUAAGGAUUUGGUAACGUAGCUAACGCGUGAAGUUGACCGCCUGGGGAGUACGGUCGCAAGAUUAAAACUCAAAGGAAUUGACGG